rnacentral:rRNA from 1 species
CAUGCAAGUCGAGCGAGAAUCUGUCUGUUGAAGCUUCGGUGGAUUCAGUCAGAGGACAGCGGCAAACGGCGUAGUAAUGCGUAGGUACGUACCCUCAGGACGGGGAUAGCCACGGGAAACUGUGGGUAAUACCCGAUAAUCUCUGCGGAGCAAAGGUGUGAUUCCGCCUGAGGAGCGGCUUACGUGAUAUUAGCUUGCUGGUGGGGUAAUGGCCUACCAGGGCAACGAUGUCUCGGGGGUGUGAGAGCAUGGCCCCCACGACCGGAACUGAGAUACUGUCCGGACACCUACGGGUGGCUGCAGUCGAGAAUCUUCCGCAAUGGGCGAAUGCCUGACGGAGCGACGCCGCGUGCAGGAUGAAGGCCCUUGGGUUGUAAACUGCUGUCAGAGGGGAUGAAAUCACGGUUGGCUAUCCUUCCGUGUUGACAGAGCCUCAAAGGAAGCACGGGCUAAGUACGUGCCAGCAGCCGCGGUAACACGUACUGUGCGAACGUUAUUCGGAAUCACUGGGCUUAAAGGGUGCGUAGGCGGUUUAUCAAGUCAGAUGUGAAAUGCCUGAGCUCAACUGAGGCACUGCGUUUGAAACUGAUAGACUUGAGUAUUCCAGGGGUAUGCGGAACUGCCAGUGGAGCGGUGAAAUGCGUUGAUAUUGGCAGGAACACCAGUGGCGAAGGCGGCAUACUGGGGGAUAACUGACGCUGAGGCACGAAAGCCAGGGUAGCGAACGGGAUUAGAUACCCCGGUAGUCCUGGCUGUAAACGAUGAGCACUGGGCGGGGAGGAAGUUCGCUUCUUCCUGCCGUAGCGAAAGCAUUAAGUGCUCCGCCUGGGGGAGUAUGGUCGCAAGGCUGA